ensembl:lncRNA
UCUAUCUGGAGAUCACUCCUCUGGGAGCUCUUCUGUGGGCCCAGGACAUAGCACAUUUAUGAAGAAUGACUUAAAGCUUAUGAGUUGUUAGAGGAAAAAAAAGCACUAGAACUGAUCUUCUAAAAGUACAAGAAAAGGAAACAGCAUAAGUCUUUUAUAUGUCUCUGGGCCAGGAAAGAAGUAAGCAGUGAGAAAGUAUGAGGAAGAAUGAGCUUCAGGUCUGAAGCCACAAAUGAGCUCAAACACAGGAGGAAAGCUGGAACAAAAUGAACUCUUACGUGAAAAUAAGACAUGACUUCCAGCAUAGGCUGAAUGUGCAUCACAUCCUGACACAACAGGAUGAACAUAUAUGAACAUACAUGUAGGCAUAAAGCUUCCUUUCUCCAUAGCCCACCAACCUCUGACUGCUCUCCAUCCACCAUCCUGUAGCAACUCUUCUGGGGAAGGCUAACAAAUCACUUCUGCGACUUGCUUCCACAUUAUGUCAAGUAUCUUACUUGGCCAGUUGGGAGUAUGCCAUAUUCCACUGGAAAUGCCAAAGAAGAACACAGGACUUGGACAGAGUAAACCUUUCGUAAUACACCACCAAGAAAUGUUUGGAGGUUCGAUCCUUGUGUUCAGCACAAAUCGUUUGUGCUGAAGAGACAGACUGAAUCUCGGACAAGAUGUCAGGCCAAAUCCUCUUUACAAGGGGGUUUAUCAUUGUAUAUUCAGUGUAAUGAGUAUCCACGGACAUCUGUCAAUGUAUUUUGUGUGGAAGGGGGAAAGAAAAAAACCUGAAUAUGCAUGUAAUUGUGGUGAUUUUAACCAUUAAUGUGGUGUCCAGAAAGCAUUCAGAAAAGGAACUGAAAACGCCACAAUAAACGGUGCUUCCUGAUGUGAUGUAUAACAACCCCAUCCAAGUGAAUUGCUUCUGAGUUUUCUCCAUUAAUCUUGCCUUGACUCUGAGUCUCUGUGCAAAACUACAAGUUCUUUGGCACAGGGACUGUGCCAGGGUUUACAGAACACCUUUUGCAAGAGGGUCGCAGUUAGAACUUGGCAGCAUGUGAGAAAUAAUGAAGAAAAGAAUUGGGCUCUUGAAAUGACAUUGUUCAACCUUCAGUAUCCCACAAGAUACAACUGGAAGUAAAUAAAUAGUAGGCUUAGUC